rnacentral:rRNA from 1 species
UAUUAGAGUUUGAUCAUGGCUCAGGACGAACGCUGGCGGCGUGCUUAACACAUGCAAGUCGAACGGAAAGGCCCGCUUGCGGGUACUCGAGUGGCGAACGGGUGAGUAACACGUGGGCAACCUGCCCUCAGCUCUGGGAUAACUCCGGGAAACCGGUGCUAAUACUGGAUAUCGACUUCUGCCUCGCAUGGGGUGUUGUUGAAAGUUUUUCGGCUGGGGAUGGGCCCGCGGCCUAUCAGCUUGUUGGUGGGGUGAUGGCCUACCAAGGCGACGACGGGUAGCCGGCCUGAGAGGGCGACCGGCCACACUGGGACUGAGACACGGCCCAGACUCCUACGGGAGGCAGCAGUGGGGAAUAUUGCGCAAUGGGCGAAAGCCUGAUCCAGCAACGCCGCGUGAGGGAUGACGGCCUUCGGGUUGUAAACCUCUUUCAGUACCGACGAAGCGCAAGUGACGGUAGGUACAGAAGAAGCACCGGCCAACUACGUGCCAGCAGCCGCGGUAGCCC